GACAAAAGUCCAUCUGAGUUGCUCUCUGCUGCCUGACACGCAAUAUGAUGCCCUGGACUGACCUGCCCCAUUACAAAAGGCUCAUCCAGCUCCAUCCAGCACCUUGGUGGGAUGCAGGCUUUAAGCAGAACAGGUUUGUUUCAGCAAACACCGAGCGAGGAGGCAGCUCAGCCACCGGCCCUGCACCCAGCGCUGACAGGAACACUGCGGCAAGUGACGUCAGGGCAGCUGCGUGUCCUCAUCUGCAGGGCACGGCCUGCUGACGUGCGGCCCUCCUGUGCCAUCAGUCACGCGUGCUACAUUCCGACAGAAGAGGGCCUCCCAGCUUCACCUUCAGCGAGGCGGGUCCUGAGGUGUGGGGGUAGGAGCGCCAACGUGUUCUGAUCGAGUAAAGCGGGUCUGGCUGAUGAGAUACGUAAAGAAAAGAAGAAACUCUGAGGCUGCUCUUGAGUUCAGAUUCAGCUGUACAGCCUAGCUGAAGCCCAGCACGAGAUAGAAGCAGUGUGAGGACAUGCCAUGCAUUAGCCUUCCCCCAGCAAUCUUUGCAACAGGGUAUUGUGGAACCUACACGAGUUCAUCCUGGCAGUGACAGAAUCACCACAGAGUUGAGAAUGUUGUGACACUGACUUGAAUGGUCUCAUGUGAGGGAAUUACAAAGCAACUGGGACGCUGCUCUGCACAGCUUAUACAGUUGGC
rnacentral:lncRNA from 1 species